rnacentral:miRNA from 1 species
AGGAUUCGAGUACAUCCAUC